rnacentral:rRNA from 1 species
GAUGGGAGCUUGCUCCCUGAUGUUAGCGGCGGACGGGUGAGUAACACGUGGGUAACCUGCCUGUAAGACUGGGAUAACUCCGGGAAACCGGGGCUAAUACCGGAUGGUUGUCUGAACCGCAUGGUUCAGACAUAAAAGGUGGCUUCGGCUACCACUUACAGAUGGACCCGCGGCGCAUUAGCUAGUUGGUGAGGUAACGGCUCACCAAGGCGACGAUGCGUAGCCGACCUGAGAGGGUGAUCGGCCACACUGGGACUGAGACACGGCCCAGACUCCUACGGGAGGCAGCAGUAGGGAAUCUUCCGCAAUGGACGAAAGUCUGACGGAGCAACGCCGCGUGAGUGAUGAAGGUUUUCGGAUCGUAAAGCUCUGUUGUUAGGGAAGAACAAGUGCCGUUCAAAUAGGGCGGCACCUUGACGGUACCUAACCAGAAAGCCACGGCUAACUACGUGCCAGCAGCCGCGGUAAUACGUAGGUGGCAAGCGUUGUCCGGAAUUAUUGGGCGUAAAGGGCUCGCAGGCGGUUUCUUAAGUCUGAUGUGAAAGCCCCCGGCUCAACCGGGGAGGGUCAUUGGAAACUGGGGAACUUGAGUGCAGAAGAGGAGAGUGGAAUUCCACGUGUAGCGGUGAAAUGCGUAGAGAUGUGGAGGAACACCAGUGGCGAAGGCGACUCUCUGGUCUGUAACUGACGCUGAGGAGCGAAAGCGUGGGGAGCGAACAGGAUUAGAUACCCUGGUAGUCCACGCCGUAAACGAUGAGUGCUAAGUGGUUAGGGGGUUUCCGCCCCUUAGUGCUGCAGCUAACGCAUUAAGCACUCCGCCUGGGGGAGUACGGUCGCAAGACUGAAACUCAAAGGAAAUUGACGGGGGCCCGCACAAGCGGUGGAGCAUG